rnacentral:rRNA from 1 species
UACGUAGGGUGCAAGCGUUAAUCGGAAUUACUGGGCGUAAAGCGUGCGCAGGCGGUUUUGUAAGACUGUCGUGAAAUCCCCGGGCUCAACCUGGGAAUGGCGAUGGUGACUGCAAGGCUAGAGUUUGGCAGAGGGGGGUAGAAUUCCACGUGUAGCAGUGAAAUGCGUAGAUAUGUGGAGGAACACCGAUGGCGAAGGCAGCCCCCUGGGCUAACACUGACGCUCAUGCACGAAAGCGUGGGGAGCAAACAGG